rfam:Sphaerobolus stellatus SS14 unplaced genomic scaffold SPHSTscaffold_5, whole genome shotgun sequence.
GACCUCUUAGCUCAGUGGUAGAGCAUGCGAUUCCAGCUUGGGAUCUCCGCAAGGCCGUCCGUUCAAUCCGGGCAGAGGUCA